GACGAACGCUGGCGGCGUGCUUAACACAUGCAAGUCGGGCGGUAAGGCCCUUUCGGGGGUACACGAGCGGCGAACGGGUGAGUAACACGUGGGUGACCUGCCCUCAGCUCUGGGAUAAGCCUGGGAAACCGGGUCUAAUACCGGAUAUGACUCCAUGACGCAUGUUGUGGGGUGGAAAGCCUUGUGCGGCUGAGGAUGGGCCCGCGGCCUAUCAGCUUGUUGGUGGGGUGAUGGCCUACCAAGGCGACGACGGGUAGCCGGCCUGAGAGGGCGACCGGCCACACUGGGACUGAGACACGGCCCAGACUCCUACGGGAGGCAGCAGUGGGGAAUCUUGCGCAAUGGGCGAAAGCCUGACGCAGCGACGCCGCGUGAGGGAUGACGGCCUGGU
rnacentral:rRNA from 1 species